GUGAUCAUCAAAUUUUUGAACGCAAAUUGCACUCUCCUCGGAGAGUAUGCCUGCUUGAGGGUCAGCCUAUAAAAAUCGACAUCGUUGCUGUUUCGCGGUGGCGUUUGUCGGAAAUUGGGUCAUCUUAAAUCCUUUUGAUUUAAGCGACUUAAAAUUUCCUUUGGGUUCAUGGAACUUUUUUAAAACCAAUUUUUUUCACGUUUUAAGUAAU
rnacentral:misc_RNA from 1 species